rfam:Gossypium raimondii Chr10_contig_22, whole genome shotgun sequence.
UGUUAAAAAUUUUAUUCAUUUUUAUUGAUAAAAAUUAACAUGAUUGAUAGAAUAACAAGACAAUGACACCUAACGUGUAACUCAUGUUGAUAUACAAAGACCAAUUUUUAAUAGUAGAAAUUGAUGAAACUUUUAAUA